CAGUAGCCGCGGUAAUACGUAGGGUGCGAGCGUUAAUCGGAAUUACUGGGCGUAAAGCGUGCGCAGGCGGUUGUGCAAGACGGAUGUGAAAUCCCCGAGCUUAACUUGGGAACUGCAUUUGUGACUGCACGGCUAGAGUGUGUCAGAGGGGGGUAGAAUUCCACGUGUAGCAGUGAAAUGCGUAGAUAUGUGGAGGAAUACCGAUGGCGAAGGCAGCCCUCUGGGAUAACACUGACGCUCAUGCACGAAAGCGUGGGGAGCGAACAGGAUUAGAUACCCCAGUAGUCCCUGUCUCUUAUAC
rnacentral:rRNA from 1 species